GCAAAUGUUUAUGUGAUAUUUAUUUUGGAUAUAUCUGUCGCGCACAAAUAAUUAUUUUGAUAAGAAGUUGUCAUCAGUAUUUCUCUGGGUUUUUGUUUUUAAGUUUAUAUAACACAUAGAAAAACACAUUCUAUUGAUAAACGGAAGUUUUCGGCUUCUCUGGUUGAAGACAGGAACAAAAGUUUAUUUGAUUCCACAAUUUUGUUGUUGUUGUUGUUGACGGCUGUGUCAGCAUAGUUAUAUAUUUUUAAACAUCGUAGACGCUUAUUUCAUAUAAUUUUACAUCGAAGAAGGUGUUUAUGGUUAUAUCUGCAUGGUUGUACAUCGAAGAAGGUGUUUAUGGUUAUAUCUGCAUGGUUUUGCAUCGAAGAAGGUGUUUAUGGUUAUAUCUGCAUGGUUUUGCAUCGAAGAAGGUGUUUAUGGUUAUAUAUGCAUGGUUUUACAUCGAAGAAGGUGUUUAUGGUUAUAUCUGCAUGGUUUUCAUCGAAGAAGGUGUUUAUGGUUAUAUCUGCAUGGUUUUACAUCGAAGAAGGUGUUUAUGGUUAUAUCUGCAUGGUUUUACAUCGAAGAAGGUGUUUAUGGUUAUAUCUGCAUGGUUUUUGUUGUACAUAGUUUGACAUCGUAGAGGCUGACUGUAAUAUUUCUAGUCAGGCGGUGUUUUACUGUACCGGCGAAUUCGCUCGCACCUCUCUGUCUUGGCUGGACGACAAGUGAUCGUUAGACCAAUAUUUUGCAUUUUCGUCCGUUUUCAGAUCGGUUAAUAGAUAUUAUAUACAAUAAACAUAAUUUUGUUUCAGAUAUAUGAACAACAAGACAACUGUCAUAAAAUGCAUAGGAUAAGAAUUCCAAUGAAAGAUGUUCUCUAGUGUACUUCGUUGUGUCCUGCUAUCCAAAAUCGUCGCUUCGACAUCGCUGGUCUUAGGCGCCAAAUCAACCAUUGUCGUAUAACGUAGGAAGAACUCACGGAUGUUACAUACUUUUAAUAUACAAAUACAAACACACAAGUGAACGAGUGGAAUACCAAAGCUGAACUCCUGGACUGAAUAUCUGGCCCAAAAUAUAUAGUGACAGUUUACACAUAAAAUGUUAUGAAAUCUAGCCGACUUACAAAUACGUUAUCUAUCAUUUUGACAUAAGUUCAGUUUGUAUGUAUCUUGCACUAUAAUACACAUAAAUCAUGUCAUGUUCCAGAGUUCACACUAUGAAAU